rnacentral:rRNA from 1 species
AAUGAACGUUGGCGGCGUGGAUUAGGCAUGCAAGUCGCGCGAUUUCCUUCGGGGAAGAGCGGCGGAAGGGAGAGUAACGCGUAGAUACCUACCCUCGGGACCGGAAUAGCGACGGGAAACUGUCGGUAAUGCCGGAUAACGUCACUGGACCAAAGGUGUGAAUCCGCCUGAGGAGGGGUCUGCGUCCUAUUAGCUAGUCGGCGGGGUAACGGCCCACCGAGGCGAAGAUGGGUACCGGGCGUGAGAGCGUGACCCGGCUCACUGGGACUGAGACACUGCCCAGACACCUACGGGUGGCUGCAGUCGAGAAUCUUCGGCAAUGAGCGCAAGCUUGACCGAGCGACGCCGCGUGCGGGAUGAAGGCUUUCGGGUUGUAAACCGCUGUCAGUGGGGAGGAAAUUCUUGGGGGAACUCCCCCCUGAUUGACCGAUCCGCAGAGGAAGGACGGGCUAAGUUCGUGCCAGCAGCCGCCGUAACAC